rnacentral:rRNA from 1 species
UGGUGGAGUGAUUUGUCUGGUUAAUUCCGUUAACGAACGAGACCUCGACCUGCUAAAUAGGUCUAAUCAUCUUUGGAUGGUUAGAGCUUCUUAGAGGGACUACGGUACUAUUAAAGUCCGGGGAAGUUCGAGGCAAUAACA